CCUACGGGGGACAGCAGUGAGGAAUAUUGGUCAAUGGGCGGGAGCCUGAACCAGCCAAGUAGCGUGAAGGAUGACGGCCCUACGGGUUGUAAACUUCUUUUAUAAAGGAAUAAAGUGAGUCACGUGUGCCUUUUUGUAUGUACUUUAUGAAUAAGGAUCGGCUAACUACGUGCCAGCAGCCGCGGUAAUACGGAGGGUCCGAGCGUUAUCCGGAUUUAUUGGGUGUAAAGGGAGCGUAGAUGGGUUGUUAAGUCAGUUGUGAAAGUUUGCGGCUCAACCGUAAGACUGCAAUUGAGACUGGCAGCCUUGAGUACAGUUGAGGCAGGCGGAAUUCGUGGUGUAGCGGUGAAAUGCUUAGAUAUAACGAAGAACUCCGAUUGCGAAGGCAGCCUACUAAACUGCCACUGACAUUGAUGCGCGAAAGUGUGGGGAUCAAACAGGAUUAGAUACCCGGGUAGUC
rnacentral:rRNA from 1 species